rnacentral:lncRNA from 1 species
AAUGAUCCUUCUUUGUAUUUAGAUUGGGAAGCUAAGAUUGAACAUCUCUUUAAUUUGUAUAAGGUCAACGAGGACCAAAAGGUUAGGUUAACUUCCUUAGUUUUCUUAGACUAUGCCAACCAAUGGUGGCACAAACUUGUAAUGGACAUUGGGCUAAACUAGAGACCAAUCGUGAUCUCUUUGAUGAUUUAAAGGAAUGCAUGCGCAUGAGGUUUGUUCCUCCUCCUUAUAGGAAGGAACACUUGUUGAAGUUCCA